GUCCCCGGCCAUGCCGCCCUGAUGGCACCCCAUCUCAUCUGAUCUCAGAGGCUAAGCACGGUUGGGCCUGGCUUGGAUGGGAAGAAAUGUAUGACCUUUGGAUUCUUCAAGAGUCUUCUCUGGGGGAU
rnacentral:rRNA from 1 species